CAGAUAAUCUCUUAUGGAGGGAAGAACAAGAGGAAGGUAUUUGCACUAUCAACAUUCUUCAUUUGUGUUUCAAUUCUACUGAAACAGAAGAAGAGAAGACACAGAUGAGAGGAGAAGGUGAUGUAAAGGCAGGUUGGAGGUAUGCAGCCACAGUGAGGGAGCAUCUGGAGGCACC